rnacentral:misc_RNA from 1 species
GAUGAAGAACGUAGCGAAAUGCGAUAAGUAAUGCGAAUUGCAGAAUUUCCGUGAGUCAUCGAAUCUUUGAACGCACAUUGCGCCCGCCAGUAUUCUGGCUGGCAUGCCUGUCUGAGCGUCAUUUCAACCCUCAUGCCCCUAGGGCGUGGUGUUGGGGAUCGGCCAAAGCCCGCGAGGGACGGCCGGCCCCUAAAUCUAGUGGCGGACCCGUCGUGGCCUCCUCUGCGAAGUAGUGAUAUUCCGCAUCGGAGAGCGAUGAGCCCCUGCCGUUAAACCCCCAACUUUCCAAGGUUGACCUCAGAUCAGGUAGGAAUACCCGCUGAACUUAAGCAUAUCAUAAGCGGAGGA